rnacentral:rRNA from 1 species
UACGGAGGAUGCAAGCGUUAUCCGGAUUUAUUGGGUUUAAAGGGUGCGUAGGCGGAAAUGUAAGUCAGUGGUGAAAGACUGUCGCUUAACGAUAGCAUUGCCAUUGAUACUGCAAGUCUUGAGUACAUUUGAGGUGGGCGGAAUGUGUAGUGUAGCGGUGAAAUGCUUAGAUAUUACACAGAACACCGAUUGCGAAGGCAGCUCACUAAACUGUAACUGACGCUGAGGCACGAAAGCGUGGGGAU